rnacentral:snRNA from 1 species
GGGUGUGAGUGCCAUCUGGCUGUGGAAUCAGUCACCUCACUGAUUGCCAGGUUUGAUUCAGCUGAUCUGAUUGGCUAGAUGGUGUCGCUUUCCCCCUUCCACAUCCAUGGGCACUUCUCCUGAAGCUGUGAGAUCAGUAAAAGAAAACCUUCCCGUAAAAGAGGAUGUUAAUGUAAG